rnacentral:piRNA from 1 species
CAGGUUCUACUCCCUAACUU